GAUGAACGCUGGCGGCGUGCCUAAUACAUGCAAGUCGAGCGAACGGAUAAGGAGCUUGCUCCUUUGACGUUAGCGGCGGACGGGUGAGUAACACGUGGGUAACCUACCUAUAAGACUGGGAUAACUUCGGGAAACCGGAGCCAAUACCGGAUAAUAUUUCGAACCGCAUGGUUCGAUAGUGGAAGAUGGUUUUGCUAUCACUUAUAGAUGGACCCGCGCCGUAUUAGCUAGUUGGUAAGGUAACGGCUUACCAAGGCGACGAUACGUAGCCGACCUGAGAGGGUGAUCGGCCACACUGGAACUGAGACACGGUCCAGACUCCUACGGGAGGCAGCAGUAGGGAAUCUUCCGCAAUGGGCGAAAGCCUGACGGAGCAACGCCGCGUGAGUGAUGAAGGUCUUCGGAUCGUAAAACUCUGUUAUUAGGGAAGAACAUACGUGUAAGUAACUGUGCACGUCUUGACGGUACCUAAUCAGAAAGCCACGGCUAACUACGUG
rnacentral:rRNA from 1 species